rnacentral:rRNA from 1 species
AACGAACGCUGGCGGCAGGCUUAACACAUGCAAGUCGAGCGCAUCCUUCGGGGUGCGCGGCAGACGGGUGAGUAACGCGUGGGAACGUACCCUUUCCUACGGAAUAGCUCCGGGAAACUGGAAUUAAUACCGUAUACGCCCUUAGGGGGAAAGAUUUAUCGGGGAAGGAUCGGCCCGCGUUGGAUUAGCUAGUUGGUGGGGUAAAGGCCUACCAAGGCGACGAUCCAUAGCUGGUCUGAGAGGAUGAUCAGCCACAUUGGGACGGAGACACGGCCCAAGCUCCUACGGGAGGCAGCCGUGGGGAAUAUUGGACAAUGGGCGCAAGCCUGAGCCAGCCAUGCCGCGUGAGUGAUGAAGGCCUUAGGGUUGUAAAGCUCUUUCAGUAGGGAAGAUAGUGACGUUACCUACAGAAGAAGCCCCGGCUAACUUCGUGCCAGCAGCCGCAGUAA